rnacentral:pre_miRNA from 12 species
GUGCCUAAAGCCCCUUAUCAUUCUCCUGUCGAGUGUUAAAAUUCUCUACGACUGGACGGAGAACUGAUAAGGGCCCGAGGGUUA